ACGGCACCCAAACAGUCCGGAACAACCUGAACGACCCUGUAAAAAUCCACUCGGGCACACCAGCACGAGUGUAAAUAUAUUCUAAACUACCUGAAGUACUCGUCUCGAAGAUACUGCGACAGUAUAAUUUUAUAACGGCUCCUAGAGCUAAAUCAGGCAGUUUAAACACUGUGACAAGUCCAAAUCGCAAGUUUCUCCUAAUUCAAUUCCAAAUCCAACAUGUAUAAACUACUCAAUUUAAUACCACAUGCUCCAAAUUCAGAUUUGCUAUCUAUAACAAAAUCCAUGAAUUCGAGCUAAAGUAAACUAUACAAAAUCUGAAAAUUACACAUGUUGACUAUUGCGCACUUAGGAGUAUAAGCCGAUGAUUAACCCACCUUAGUCGCUAAUCCCAGCAGUGAGACGUCCUGAAGCAAAGGAACACCUUGCUGGAUCAAUCCGCAAACCUCCAAAGGCCAGAAAUCACGCUCCGCAAACUCUACACGUAAAAUCCAAAAUGACACCGAUUCUGCUCAAAAACAGCAGCAGAGAAGAGAAUAAUUCCGACCAAUAAAACCUCCACCAAAACCAGCAAGUAGGGGCUUCGUGGAUUUCUCUCGAAGUCCUGAAUCCAACGAACCAAGUCUCGUCGAAAUCCGAUGCUCCUACGUCGAGAGGGAGCCGAAACGCGACGGUCGACGCUGGAAAUCAGUGAAAACAGCACCUCGAGCUCGAUUCAUGAAGCUUGAAGUAAGAAAGAAUCCAUGAGGAAUGAGAAAUUACCACCUCAACCAGCGACUCCAAUUCUGGCACGGCGUCGAGAACGCGAAAACACUCCCUCGCCCGGCCUCCUCGCUAAACUACGGCGACGCACGUAUGCUCGGACGGCUCCGCAGCGCGAUGACGUACGACGACGAAAUGCUCCACACGAACCCUUCCUUGCUCACAAUCGCUAGAGGGAGAGAGAAGAAGAAAUAAUUUAGAGAGAUGUACAACCUGAGUGAUAAGUAUGCAUCGGGGGGGGGGGUGGUGGGGGGGGGUUAGUGCACGUGCAUUCCAUCCACCCAACUUACCAACUCAAAACUUGCAAAAAAACCAAUAAAAAAAAAAUCAGAAUACUACAAUUAUUUAUAUAAUUAUACUUAAAAACACAUAUUUUAAAAACACAUCUUUUUUCGUAGGCAAAAUAAAUAACGUAACAAACUAAGCUUUCAUUUUUUUUUCUAACGACCGGAUAAUCUUUACUUUUUAUUAAAUAUUUAUAUUCAUUUCUUUUUUUUUAAUAAUAUUUUGGAUUUUUUUGUACUAUCUACAGAUAUGAUAGUUGUUAUAUUAAUUUUUAUUGAUUGCAACCAACAAUCAAAUUUGAAUUUAAUUAUAAAGAUAUAUUUAAAUUUUAAACUUAUUUAUUUUACAUUUUAUUUUAUCUUAAAUUCAUAGUUAAAAUUUAAUUAUAUUAUUUAAAUUUAAAUUAUAAAUUUUUAAAUAAAAAUUAAAUUUGAGUUCAAAUAAUGAAUUAAAUUUAAUUUUGGAUAUCAAAUAUAAAUAUAAUUAAAAAUUUUAAUUAAAUUAGAUCAAAAUUAAAUCUUAAAUUUUGAAUUAAAAGUGAUUAAAAUUUUGAUACUUUUAGUUUAAAAUACAUAUUUAAAUUUUGGAUUCAUGAGAAUUCAAGAAGCAAACAGAAUUAUUCAAUGUACACAAAAAGGAAAGAAAUAGAUCUAUAUAAUUAUUGUCAACAGUAAUAAUUUAAAUUUGGGUUAGAAUACGGUAGAUAUUUUCUAAUAAUAUAAAACAAAUUAAUUUACUUUUUUUAAAAUUUAAAUUUUUAAUGUAAUUUUUUUGAUAAAUAUGAUGUACUAAUUUAUAUUGAUUUGAGUAACUAUUAAAAUAAUUGUAACAAGCAUUUGCCUAUAUACUCAACUAUUAUUAUUGUGAUAACCAUUUGGAUUUGGCCACCCAAUCUUUUAAAAUUUUGAUUUUACUUUUCAACAUUUCAAUUUGUUUGAUUUAAGUCAAUCAACGACACUUAACCCUUAAAAGUUUAAGAUAAUAUUUAUUUUAAUGAAUUUAUAGUUGUGAGAAUUGCAUAAAAUAUACUAAUUAACUAAAUUUGUAAAGAUAAAAUCACGUAUUCAAACUUUAAAUCCAAAGUGUACUUAAUUGGCUCAAAUCAAACAAAUUGAAAGACUAGGUAUAAAACCAAAAUUUGGAAAGGUUGGGUAGCUAAUUCCAAAUACUCGAUAGUUCAAGUAAUUUUCAUUUACCAAUAUUAAAAAACUAAAUUAUUUUUUUCAUAUACAAAUUAUAAUAAUACAACAGAAAAAGUCAUAGAGUAAAAGAAAUAUUAAUACUCAACAAAUUCAUUUUCAUCAUAUUUUAAAUGUGUAAACAAAAUAAAAGAGAUACUAAAAUUUACAUAAUCAAUUUUCGUCACAUUUUUAACGUACAAACUAAAUAAAAGAGUAAUUAGUACCACAAUCAAUUAUAUUUAAAUAUAGCUAGCAUUACCUAUUAUAUUAUUUUAUUAUUUUUUUCCCUACAUCUCUCUCCAAUGAAUUCAUUAUACUGUUUUGGGUAAGUCGAGUUUUGGUUGUAUCUUUAUUACAGAAACCAAACAAUAAAAAUAGUCAUUUACGGUCAAUAGCGACUUCACCUCUCUCCACUUUCACCCAAACAAACAGAUGAUUAGGGCAUAAUAGUUUUUAUUUGACCCAUAAAAUACUCAAAUGCAAGAGCACUGUGAAUAUCUUGAUUGAUCUACAAUGCAAUGGGUCUAUCCAAAACGUUAGAAAAAUUUGCUGUGAAACUUAGUGAAGCAUGAAACUUGCAUGACUUUUUUUUUUUUGGAGAAAAAUAUAGCGUGCUAUCCGAUUCAUUCAUUAGGUAAAAUAAAGUUAACUAAAGUGUCAGGCAUCUGGGCCUCAAUCCAAAAAAAUGUAAGCAUUAAACAUGCAUGACCAAUUUUUCUUGGCCUAUUAUGUAGGACGAAGGAUAAUUAAUUAGUCGUAGGCUACCAUUUGUAAAUUUGCUUCUUCUCGUGAAGUUGCAUGCGUAAAGCAUGCCUAAUUAAUUGAAAGCGCCGUGGUUCGAUAUAAAAGGAUACAAUCCAUGUAAUGUUGUGCCAAAACUGCAAGUUCGUUCUUUAUCUCAGCAUUGAGAAGCUACUUUGUUUCUCUUUGUGUUGGUAUUAUAAAAAAAACCUUUUUUGGGAUUUUUUUUUUGGGGGGGGACAGUAUGGGAAGGAUGGUUAUAAUUAUAUGCUAAUUAAGUUGAAUAAGAUGAAAGGAGGUUUGUAUUUUGAUUUAUUCAUAUGAAACAUCUGAUUCAUAUGAACAUAGAUAAGUUUUUAUAUCAUUUAAAUUUGCUCUCAUAUCACUAUAUUUUAUUUUAAUAUUCAAGCAAAAUGCAUCUUAAAAAGCUAAGUGCAUCUUAAAAAGGCAAUUCUAACAAAAUAUUUUACUCUUAAGUCAAAACUCAUGUCAAUUUCUUCUUGAUAGAAUCAAUUUUAGAAGAUCCAUGACAUAUUCUAAAGAACUAUCGAGGAUAACUAACGAUUAGAAUGAGUAGUGUGGCUCAAAAUUCUGUGAAGUAAAUAAACAAAAAGUAAAUAGACAAAAAGUAAAAAUCUGUACGGUAAAUGGUCAAAAAAUAGUAAGGGCGGUUACAUUAGAUGGUCACGUUAUCCCAUCUCCACCUUUUCCGCCACGAGUUGUUGGCAGCUAGAUUGUCGUCCUUUGUUUCUUACUUCUUUUCCUGAUAUUGAAUUAUGGUGGUACUGGUUAUAGUCGUGGUCAUGAAUAUGGCCAAGCAGGCCUUCUAACCUACCCACAUUAAGGUCUACUACUUUCACCUCACAUGACGUGGGAAGAAUCGAAAAUUCCACCACCAACAUCGUGUCCAGGGUAAUUGUUUCAACAAGAUCUUCUACUCGAAAUUUGCUAUUAAGAUUUGUUGGCUUUGGCCAGGUUCGAGCAAAUCGUUGGCUCAUCAAAGAAGAAGCAAACUGUGAUGUUUUUAGAACAUCACAAUUUGCAAGUGAAUGAUGUAUCAAAGGGCUCGAUCUGAAUCGCAACCUUGAUGAUGACAAUGCUCUGAGAGUGAUGGCGAUAGUGAUGAUCGGAUCACCUCCUCGCCAUUGAUCGAUGUUAACAGGGAUUGGUGUUAAGGGUCAGUGAAGUGGAGAGAUGAUGAUGAACAUGAACUUGAGGAGGAAGAAGACCAGGUAUAGAGAGAAAAAGGUAAUUCCAAAGUUUAUUUGAUCUACCCGUUUUCAGUUACAAUGCUGGCUAUUUAUAGGUGCUCCUAAGGCUCCAUUUGCAAUUUGUUUAAAUGUUGUGGACCAAUCUGAAAUUUAACAAUUGUGGCAAUAGCUUGAGUGGGCUCCUUGUCGCAUGGGCCUGGGCCUUCAUCAAGUGGCGUAACGGUAAGCGAAUUUCGAAUCCGCAGUCGCGUAAUAUCCAUUAUCGCUCAAUCCGCCCCGGCUGGAAGAAAACUCCAAGACCCCCCUUUCGAUUCUUACACCUUUCUGUCGUAAAUCACACCAGCACCCAUCCUUUCCUACUGCAAAGCUCACCUACCCCUCCCCUACCUCCUCCUUCUUCGACGGAUAGCAUGAGGACCUAGUGGAGAGUGGUCCGGUGAAGCCAACACCGACUUGAAAAAGGGUGAUUCGGCGAGGUCAUCACCGGUUCAGAAGAUCUACUCCGGAUUCAAUACAGCCCCACUAACUCACCCCUUUUAUUAUUUCCCUUUAUUUCCGUAGUCUUAUUCCUUUUUUUUAUUUUUUAUUUUUUAUACACAGGUGUUACAGUCCCCUUCCCUUAGGACGAUCCCUGUCCUCAGGGUCGAAUUUUAGAAAUUGCAGCCUGAGAGUUCGAGGAUCCUCACAAGUAGCCGAUUCCGGGGGUAGAUUGCGUCAUUUGACUAGUACCUCCUUUGCGAUACCUCGACCUCGUUUAACGGCUCUCUCUGCCAACACUCCCUCGGGCUCAGCCAACAGUUGCCCUUCUUUUCCAACCACGGGUACCCCAUUUGUGACCUUAUUGUUCGUGGUAGGACUUCGUUUAAGUUGGGAGAUGUGAAACACAGGGUGGAUCAGAGAUCCUUCAGGUAAUUUUAACUUGUAUGCGACUUGCCCCACGCGUGAUAUAAUUUCGAAGGGUCCGUAAUAUCGAGCAGCUAGUUUAGGAUUUUUUCGAGAGGCCACGGAAAUCUGCCGAUAAGGUUGAAGUUUCAAAUAUACCCAGUCCCCCACAGAAUACUCCUUUUUCUUUGAUAUUUAUCGGCUUGUUGUUUCAUUCGAUUCUGAGCUAUUUGUAGCCGAUCCCAGAGGUUAAGUGGUGCCAUUCCAUAAAGAGCCUGAUAGGGUGUCAUUCCAAGACUUUUUUACGAUGUCUGUGUUCCGAGCAUCCAAGCAAGUGGAAUCACUCUAUUUGCCCUAAAUUGAGUGGUGGUACAAUACUAACUAUCAUUCCUCUCUUGGAAUGACAGUCUAUCAGGCUCUUUAUGGAAUGGCACCACUUAACCUCCAGGAUCGGCUACAAAUAGCUCAGAAUCGAAUGAAACAACAAGCCGAUAAACAUCGAAAGGAAAAGGACUAUUCUGUGGGGGACUGGGUAUAUUUGAAACUUCAACCUUAUCGGCAGAUUUCCGUGGCCUCUCGGAAAAAUCCUAAACUAGCUGUUCGAUAUUACGAACCCUUCGAAAUUAUAUCACGCGUGGGGCAAGUCGCAUACAAGUUAAGAUUACCUGAAGGAUCUCUAAUCCACCCUAAGGUCACAAAGGGGGUACCCGUGGUUGGAAAAGAAGGGCAACUGCUGGCUAAACCCGAGGGAGUGUUGGCUGAGAGAGCCAUUAAACGAGGUCGAGGUAUCGCAAAGGAGGUACUAGUCAAAUGGAGCAAUCUACCCCCGGAAUCGGCUACUUGGGAGGAUCCUCAGACUCUCAGGCUGUAAUUUUCAGAAUUCGACCCUGAGGACAGGGAUCGUCCUAAGGGGAGGGGACUGUAACACCUGUGUAUAAAAAAAGAAGAAGAAGGAAUAAGACGACGGGAAUAAAAGGAAAUAAUAAAAGGGGUGAGUUAGUGGGACUGUAUUGAAUCCGGAGUAAAUCUUCUGAACCGGUGAUGACUUCGCCGGAUCACCCUUCUUCAAGUCGGUGUUGGCUUCACCGGACCACUCUCCACUAGGUCCUCGUGCUAUCCGUCGGAGAAGGAGGAGGUAGGGGAGGGGUAGGUGAGCUUUGUAGUAGGAAAGGAUGGGUGCUGGUGUGAUUUACGAGAGAAUGGCAGAAGAAUCGAAGGGGUCUCUUGAGUCUUCUUCCAGUCGGUGUGGAUUGAGUGAUAAUGGAUAUUACGCGACUGCGGAUCCGAAAUUCGCUUAUCGUUGCGCCACUUGAUGAAGGCCCAGGCCCAUGCGACAAGGAGCCCACUCAAGCUAUUGCCACAAUUGUUAAAUUUCAGAUUGGUCCACAACAUUAACACAAAUUGCAAAUAGAGCCUUAGGAGCACCUAUAAAUAGCCAGCAUUGUAACUGAAAACGGGUAGAUCAAAUAAACUUUGAAAUUACCUUUUUCUCUCCCUCUUUUUCUCUCUCUAUACCUGGUCUUCUUCUUCCUCGCCAAGCUCCUGUUCAUCAUCAUCUCUCCACUUCAAUGACCCUUAACACCAAUCCCUGUUAACAUCGAUCAAUGGCGAGGAGGUGAUCCGAUCAUCACUAUCGCCAUCACUCUCAGAGCAUUGUUAUCACCAAGGUUGUGAUUCAGAUCGAGCCCUUUGAUUGCAUCAUUCACUUGCGAUCAAUUUCUUUGCUUCGCAGCUAGAGAGAGAGAGAUUUUUAUUUUAAAUUUAAAUUUAAAAUUUAAAAUUUUAAAAUUUUAAAUUUUAAAUUUAUAAUUUAAAAUUAUAAAUUUUAAAGUUUAAAUUUUAAAUUUGAUAUUUUUAAAUUUUAAAUUUUAAAUUUUAAAUUUUUAGUUUUUAAAUUUUAAAUUUGCUAUUUUAUAUCUUUGAAAUUUAAAUUUGGUCUUAAAUUUAAAAUUUGAUAUUUAAAAUUAAAAUUUUAAAUUUUAAUUUCAAAUUUUUAAAUUUAAUUAUUGGGGUAAUAUCUUUAUUUUCUAUUUAUAACUAACAACUAUUCCUCUUAUUACCAAUAACAAUCCAAGCACAAUUUUUCUAGUUCCAACUUAUACUCACAUUUUCAUCCAAACAAAAAAAUAUCCUUAUUCUUACAAAAAUCCAUACUUGUACCCAUUCCCGGUAUAACUAGUUCCUACUAAUUUCCAAACCAAACGAAGCCUUACAAUUCAAUGACCUAUUGGUCGGUAUGCCCCGAGGAGCCGUGAUUGUCAGCUAUUCCCUGAUGGUUAGCCAUUAAUCAUAUUUGCAUCGAUCGCCACAACUCGACAGCAUUUCACGAACACCAACGGUCUGAUCCCCCUAGGAAGGUGUUCUUUUUCGAAAAAGUAGUUGGUUGCCAACCCGUGAGCCCAGCAGUCAUUUGCUAGGGUUAUAUGCUAGAUUAAGGGGUUGUGGUUUGCCUGAGGUCCUUAGACUGACACGGCCGUAUAGAUUGGGUAUACUUGUACUAUCAAUUGCAGUUGACGCGUAGUCAUUUCUCUAUCUCUUUUGCAGUAGCGGUUAUUCAUACCAUUACUACGGUUGUUUUCGGUUCAGUUAUCAUGCUAUUGCACUAGUUUGACUAUUGAUUAUAGUUGGUCGUCACUUUAUUAUCUCACUUUACAGUAGUAGCUUCUUUGGUGAUUACUGAUUGAUACUAUUUAUUAUUAUCAUGCCCAAAUUUACUUGUUAUUACUGCUAUUUACCCCUCCUUCUGCCGAUGGGUACAGUUUGCCUUCGUCGGCUUAUGGUACCCACUAGGAGGGAGAGACAUGUUUACAUGUUCUCAUCCCCCCACCUUUUUUGAGGUGAUGCGGGUGAGAUUGGUUGGGAUGCAGCGUGAGGCCGUAGCUAGUGGAUGGUCAUAGAGGUCCCGAUCUGCGGUAUACCUUUUUGAUUACUUCAUACAUAGUAUCAGAUAGAUGUUAGUGGAUAAUAUAAAUCUUACACUACAUUGGUUAUUAGAUAUCUACUUGUGGUUCAGUUGGUGGUUUACACUUGAUGUUUUGGAUGAUGUAUGUAUGAGUUUUGGAUACUCAUGUUUUGGAUACUCGUGGAUUUGGACACAUAUGGCUUUGGAUUCGGAUUUCAAAAUAUUGUUUUCUACUCUUCGUGGUAGUGUUUUCAAAAUAAAGGUUUUUAUGUGGGAAACGGUUUUCAAAGUGGUUUUUUGACUUUUUGUGAAUUUUUGAAAAAAAAAUAGAAUUUUAAAGUGAAGCCUUCAUGUGGGAGGCACUUUCAACUAGUAGGAAUGAAUGUGAAUUUGAUGUGGAAUGGUUGCGAUUAAGGACGGCUAGCUGUAUGAUGUGAAAUGAUAAUCUUUGUGACUCGUGAUUGUUGUUUGUGUGAGUGGAGGUCACGGUUGACAAUUGUACUAUAUGCUACGCCGUGCAAAUACAGGGAAAAACUCUAUCCGUUUGUUUUCGAGAAUUUUUUAUAUUUGUGGCGACUCUGUUGCACUCUUAGCGGUCAAGGGUUUAAUAAAAAAAAAAAUUGACAGUUUUUCGCUUACUCUGAUUUAUAAAGAUAAUCCGAUUUCGAAUCGGCUUUCAAAAAGGGACCCUGGGGCGUGACAUUCCAUCCCUUGGAUAGAUAGAGAGAGAGAGAGAGAGUAGAGCUUUUGGUUUUACGGCUUGGAGGGAGAUCUUUCAUAUCUUUCGAGAUCCACCCUACAAUAUGGGGUUAAAAAGCCAAAAUAAGCAUUGCACGGUAGGCACGACCCAUGUGGGCCGGGGGCCAAACUAUCGGCCCAGGCUCGUAAUGGGCUAUGCAGUGCCAAGCCGACGAGCUUAGUUUGAUUGGCCCAACACGGCCCAUGAUGUUGGGUGGGGCCGACCCGACACAGAUUCUACAAUACUCGUGCCAUGCUUGGGCUCGGCCCGUACUCAUGCGUGGGCCACCCAGCCCGUUUUACAUCCCUGUGUGUGUGUGUGUGUGUGUGUGUGUGUGUGUGUGUGUGUGCAUUGUUACAUAUGUAUACCUCCAUAUAUGAGCUUUAAAAAAAAAGUCUAGUCAUGGAGUAGAGCUCUAUGUAAAGUGUGCUAUGCACUUUAGUUAAUUAUAAUUAGAUGCUUAUUAUGAUGGUGGCUUUUGAUGUAUAUACAUAUAAAAUCAAUCUUUCUUCCAAAUGUUCUCCCAUGCACGUGUUUUUCUUCAAUCAGCAUCUAUACACUUCAUCGACUUAUGAAUCAUGAAGGAACUGCUAGCAUUGUCCACAUAGUUUGCAACUCGGCUGUUUUGUGAGAUAAAGAUCGGUUGGAUAUACACGAUUUCGUGUGUAUACGCAUAGAGGGCGAACAUGUGCACAACUAUGUUAGAAUAUCAGACCAAUGAUUGAAGCAUACGGCAUCAACCAUAAUGUAGAUCAAAAAAUCUUAAUUGGUUCACAAUAAGAUCUUUAAAUAUAAGAGUUUUGUUUCGAUUUAAUUUUUGCGCAGUAAUAUGUGAACGAUCUGCCGUCACUGGAGUGAUUUUUGGUUUUCAGUUUUUCAUAUGAUAUGUAUUUGACUUCCGAAAAAUUUAAAUUGCAAAAUUAUUUUUCCAUUGCUUUUCUCUGUUGGGCCGAUAAUUUCUUACAUGAUCAACGCUGAGCGCGACGGGGGAGUUCCCCGUAGUAAUUGUGUGUACUUGAAGGAGGUAAAAUAAAGAAGAAAAAUAAGAGUAUAAAGAAUAAAAAAAGAUAAAAAUGUUACAACAUUAAUAGAGAUUAACUUGCACAAUUUGAAAUAGUACAAUAGAAAUGUAAAUAGAACAGCAUAUUUCUAAGUAGUCUAACAUAUGAUCAAAUAGUACAAUAAAUCUUUAAAUUAGUGCAAUAUUUUUAUUAUUUCUCAAUAAAAAUUUUAAAUAGUGCAACAUUCUUAUUCCUACUACCACCACCAUUACUAUUCUUAUUCAUUUCUCAUGUCAUCUCUCCAUUUCCUCUCUUUCUUCUUCCUCUCAUUUCUUUUCGUCACACAUGUCUAGUUUGGGGAUUUCUAGUGAUCUAAUCUUCAAAGCCAGCUUUGGAGGAGGGGCUAACACUGGUGUGUUCAAGCCUCACCCUACUGCAGCUUUAUGCUGCUUCGGAUUGAGUGCAAGGUUCUACACUGUCGCAUACGAAGGGGAUGUGUGUCUCAGUGCAAUGCGUGUGGGACCUCUCUAGUAGAAAGGAUAAGAAGAAAGAAGAAGAAGCAGUAGAAGAAGAUAAAAACAAUCUAUCUAUACACAUACAUUAUUUUUCAUAAGCUUUUGCCACGUGGCAGCACCAUAGUCUCUCAUUCUCAAAAUUUCUACUCUCCAAUCAUUGCGACCGCUCGCCUUCCUCGUAAUGUCUGCCUCUUCGGCUUUCCAUCUCAUUAGUUCCUUUCCUGUAACAUCUGCCUCUUUGGCUUUCCAUCUCAUUAAUUUCUUCCCCGUAGCGUAUGCCUCUUUGGCUUUCCGUCUCAUUAAUUCCUUCUCUGUAAUGUCGCUACUUCAACUUCCCACCUCAUUAGUUUCUAUUUUCUAAGAGGCAUUGCCCGAGGAGUGUCACGCCCCACGACCGCCAAUUUGGUCGGUUCGGGCACGUCCAUAGACACCGAACGAACAGAACCUCCCUUAUCCGCCCAAGGCUCCAUACAACAACAACAUGUAUAAUAAAUUCCCCCAAGAAGAACUUAUAUUAUACAUGGCUUGCACUAGGGCAAGAAACAACAUAAGUGAAAGUAAACUAACUAGUCAUUGUAUCUUGCAACUUCAAACAAAAUACAAAGUUUAAUAUAUACAUUAAUUUCCAAAUUUACAUCACAUGUCCUUCAAGUACAUACAUCAUUGCCUUUACAUAGUCUAGUUCAUCAAGUACAAAAGAUGAAACCAAAAGGGUACACAGCUAUACUCAAAGGAGGCCCACUAUCCAGGGCGCGAUGCCCUUGCCACGAUUCUCGACCGCCCCGCUCGCGCUAGGAUUUGCAAGGUUGGUGGUGUGAGAACUAAUAAAAGUUUUCAGUGAGUUCGGAUGCCGACCUCGCUAACUUACCCACUAGGUCUACUUAAGCAUAUGUAGGAAAGGAAAUAGAUAGCAAACCAGACUAAUACUACUACAAUACUUGUACAAAACUGAAUAGAGAUAAUAUACUCAUGAUGCAUGCAUGCUCUUUUACCUUUACCCAAUCCGCUUGGUUAACCAUUUGGUUAAACCUAACUCACCAAACCAAAUCUCUUUUGUUGGGGAGAAUACCACUACGACCGUCUGCUAGGGAGAAUUCCGCUACCACCCAGUUGAUGACACUCUGGAGCUCACCGCUUGAGGUGAAGCAACCACCCUCAAGCAUUCAAACUACCUAUGAGUAUAAUCCAAUCCUCACUUGGAGGAUACCAUGCCACAACCUUUACAAAGUUCUCUUUGUUUAGCAUUUCCAAUUCUAGAUGCUAACUAAUUCGUCUAGUUAUAAUGCCACCUUGUUUACUAUUGUCAUGGCCUAACACAAGUGCUAACCGAUCCAUCUAGUCACAAUGUCACUUUGUGUACUAUUGAUAUAGUCCAGUACUUUGUUCAUACAUUCAUAGGGUUUCUAUGUCAUGAUCCUUUUUCAUUCCAUAUGUUUUCUACAUUGGAAGUAUACAAGCUUACUCACAUUUUAGCCACAUGAUAGCAUUACCCCACAAUGCAUGAAUUCACUAUACAUAUACAUGUAUGCUCAAGAACGUGACAAAGACAUAAUAGGUCAUUCGAAGACUUUGGAUAGCACCACCCACCUUGUAGUGAUGCCGGAGAACGAGAAACCAAUUCCCGCGAUUUAUAGACGUCCGCCUUCUCUCGACCCACGACAAACGAAGCCAAAAUGAGAAUUUUCCUCAAUAGCUCGACGUAGGCUCGUUGGAACUUCGAUCCGAGCCUCCCAACGCGUCGGUUCACACUUCAAUUAUGACUACAAGAGAUCAAACCCAUGUUAGAUCUCUCAUUUCACAAAAUCCCAUUUCUAACUCUAGGGUUCAUACAUUAUCCCCCAAAACACAACCUUUCUAGGAUUUCAUAGCAUAUAACAAGCUCUAGAAAUUCAAGAAACUUGAAAACCAACAAAUUAUGGAAUUUAAACCAAACCCUAACCAAGAGAUAUAAGAAACCUACCUUAGGUUCUUGCUCCACAAAAUUCCCCUUGACCAAGAGCUUCUUCUCCACCAAAACCCCCCAAUUUCCAUCUUGAAAUUUCCUUCAAUCUUCACCUUGGAGGAAGGCUUCUAGAGAGAAAAGGAGAAGAAGGUGAGGAAGAGGAAGAACCGAAGCAUUCUCUGCAUGGGAAGUAUAGGUGUAGAGUUGGGGUAUUGAUAUAGGCCUCAACAAUUGUAAAUAAGCCCCCCUAAGAACUGACUCUCAACCUUCACAUUUUAGUCCCUCGCAGACUGGGUACCCGUACUAGGGUUGGAGUACCGGUACGCGAAGCUCCUAGUACCGGUACCAUACACACUGUACCGGUACCAGCCUUCCAAUCUGAAGGCUACGCAAUCUUUGUUCACAACACAGUACCAGUACACGAUUCCAGUACCGGUACACAGCCUCUCAUAGUCCGGAUCCCGAGAGCUGUGUCAACACACCGUAAUUGGGUACCGGUACUGUAUUGCUCUGGUACCGGUACUCAAUGCCACUUCUGCACUUUGACAGCAGCAGUGUUCCGGGGUCCAUUUUCGCGCUGGGUUUGCACCGAAAACACUUAAACAACCUCGAAACUCACUUCUAGCCAUCCCCACACCUCCAAAGCAACUCGGGGACGACCCAUAUCAAGCUCGUGCCUCACUUUGAUCAACUCGAUCAAAGUUAGCAUCGUAACUCGGAAAUUUGGUAUAUUACAAGGAGCCCGUGGGCACGGCAUAUAGCGUCCUCGACAACGACCUCGCCUACUACGUCCGCUCCAACCUCAAGCCCCACAGGCGCGCCGCCCUCGCCCUCACUGUCAACGUCGGGGGAGUCGAAUUCUAACCCUAGCCCCCAACCCUUCUCCCUCGAUCUCGACCACUUAAAUUUGUAAUGUAUAGUUAUGCAAAGGGUGUGUAUCCCUCUCCUCUAAUGGCUUCGGAGGAGGAGAAAUAUCGGCUAAGAUACGGACUUGCCGAAAAGGGGUUGAAGGCACUAUAGUACUUCACGAAAUUGUCGGUGUUAGUAGGGAAUUUCCUAAAUGAGGGUACAAAGGGGUCCAAUUUUUAUGUAACAAAUUUUUUUCUCCUAUAGUUUUUUUCAUUUUUCGUUGUUUUUCAUUGAAUUAUAAUUCUAUUCUAAAAAUUUUAAAGUAUUUUUUAUAUUAUUAAAUUUAAUCAAAUAUGAUUAUAUCCGAUGCAUCGCGCGGUUUUCUACACUAGUAUUACACUAUUUUUCCUCAAGAUACUGGAGUGCACAGAAAAAAAAAAGGUUUAAUUUAGAUAUUGUAUACAUACAUCGGGCAAAGAGGCGAUUUGUUGGAAUUUCUAAAACUGUGGACCAAAUUCUUCAGAAAGAUGGAUCAAGGGCUUUUUUGCAAAUGGCCUACUAGAAAAAUUUUAUUUUAAAAUUAGCCCCAACAAAUUUGUAAUUGCAAAUAUGGCCCUAUCCCUGCCACGCAGGCGACACGCAAGCGCCACUUGGGCGGGCUGGGAGCCUGCUUGGCAACAAGUUGAACACAGUGAAUGGUUCAUCGUGUUUGAACACGGUAACACGGUGAAUGGUUCACCGUGUUCAAACACGGUGAAUGGUUCACCGUGUUUCAUAUUUAUAUUCCUCUUCUUCUCCUUUUCAAAAAUCCGAACCCGAACUCGAAAAUCAAAUUAAAAUCCGAACCUGGAUCCAAACCCGAUGGGUUUUAAAAAUCCAUACCCAUAUCCAUACCCGAUCAAAAACCCGAAAUUCGAACUCGGACCCGAACUCGGCGGGUUUUAAAAAUCCAUACCGUUGGAUGAAGAUCUAAAGGAUUAAAAUUAUUAAGUAUUUUAUAUAUUGCAUAAAUAAAUAAAAAUAAAUUAUGUAUAUAAAUAAUUUAUUCAGGUUUGGCUUCGGAUAAUAUUUCGGGUAUCCAUACCCAUUGACAUCCCUAUGUUAGUUGUAUGCCCUAGAAGCCUAUCAGGCUGACGCAUUUUAUUUUUUAUGGGACAUAUUUUUGUAGUUAAUCUUUAUUAUUGGGCCUUUUAUUUCAUUCAUGUUAAAUGUGUCCAUGAAUCGUCCUUUGAAUUAAUAAGAUGAUAAUAUGUAUUCUCAAGAGUUGAGAAUUUGAGAUACAUAUUAUUCGUGAUUAAUUCAUAAAUGCUCUCAAUCGGAGGAUCAUCAUGGGAACGAUGAUUGAUCCGGUAAUAUUGAUGUGUGUGCCGCUUCCCUUUUGGGAUAACGAAUCUCGAGUCAUCAGUGUGGGGACACUGGAGCGAACAUGCAGGUUGUUGUUGGAGAACAAGGGUACUGAGCGUGACCAACUACGAACAGUUACAUGGAUGUCUACUCAUUCGUCAGUAACUGGUUCGAUGUUGCAGUGGUACAACUGAUCCUUAGACCUACGACACUACGACCAUUCAAUGUGAGGCUACCGUAGUUUGACUAUGCAACAAACUUUGAUCCUAGCCAUGGGUCUUAGUAGUAUAUGUUGGCCGCAGUCAGUUCAUAUUAGGAAUGGGUGUGUGUUUAUAGGGGAUCUAUCGCUCUCGGUAGAGAGAUAAUUAGUUCUAUUCUAUUUGUAAGGCAAAGCUCAGAAAUUCUCGGCCGGGGUAAUAUGGUGUAUGGAAAGAGGUUUCCAAGAGUAACCAUAAGAGUUUCUGUCCUAUCAAAUUUGUCAUAUGAUGGGUGAUGGGGUUUGACGAAUAUUCCAUGACCUCUACUCAGUUGGAACUAUGUGAUAGAAGGAUUGUAUUGUACGGUAACUGCACCUAGAGGUUCAAUCCAAUAUUCACUUCUGACUGGAUUGCCACUACAUGCUGCUAGGCGUCACUUGUGGAUUGUGGGAACCAAUAGAAAUAAUUAUUAAUAAUAAAUUAUUCUAUUAGGGUAGAAUCAAAAGAGUUUGAGCCAUUGAAAGGAGUUUCGAUGAUGAUGUAGAUGGAGAUCGCAUCAUAUCUCACUACCAGACAGAAUUGCAUCUAUUAGGUCACACAUAUAAGAAAUCGCGCAUGAUUGAUAUUUAGGAGACGAUAAAAGAAGUUUAUAUUGGUUGGAUUAAUUGCAAUUAUAAUAUAGUUAAAUACUAAAGUUUACUAAUUUAUUAGCAAAAGGACUAAUUCGCAAUUAUUGUAAAUUAGAGGUAUUUAUGUGUAAAGGUUGCAUGGUGUAUUUACUAAUCGUCAGUAAAUAAUAUAAGGACUUAUGUGUAAAUGUUACACACAAAUCGAAUUAGAAUUAGGAUUAGGAUUCGGAUUCUGUUAAUAUCAUAACCAACUUGUUGGUUAAUGGAUAAUCCAAUCGGAAUAAGAUUUCGGUUAGAAUUAAGAUUAGGCUUAGGGUUUUCUCAUUAUAAAUAUAUGUCAUAUGACAUAUUAAAAUGAAUGGAAAAUUAAUGCAAGAGAAAUACAAAACUCUAGCCGUCAAUCCUCUUUCUUCCUUAAGUCCUCCAAAAUUAAUCCAUCGGUUUCGAUCUUCAAAAGGUUGCUAGCACAUCAAGAAGAUUGAAUCAUCAUCCUCAAGUCGAUGCAAGAAUUAAUUCGUGAUCAGAUCACGGAUCGAAGUGGUCGUCUAAUUCGAUCAAGGGCAUGAUUUCGUGUGGACGCGAGUAGAGGCCGGGCGUGUGCGUGGCUAAUCGAGGAUGAACAAAUUUUAACAACGAUUGUCGACUUCGCGGUGAUCUCGACCCGCGCGAGGUAAAAUAAAAUAAAAUAGAUCCUAUUUGAUUAGAUCAAUUAGAUAUAUUAUUAAUGAUCUAAAACGAAACACGAGAUGUUCUUUGGUUUUCAAGAAAAUUUUUAAUUGUGUUAUUUUCUUCCGCUGCGUACACAUGAUUUUCUUACAGUGGUAUCAGAAACACCCUCGUCGUUUGUUUUAGAUCUAGUCUCUUUUUCGAUGUUAAUUGGGUUUUUCGAAACGAUCAAAAUCAAGAUAAUGAGGAUUAUUUUUGAACAAUUUUGAUUGUUUCGGAACGUUAAUUAAAACCGACGCACGAUGCGCUAUUCACGCGGCCAUGGCACUCGGCAUGCGGCCGAGAUGGAUGCAACGUGCAAGAAGCGCUUGCAUGAAUUCGUCAUGUUGAUGACAUACAUGCACACAUUAAACUUUAAUGCCUUACAUGUGGUCUCUUUAAUUAGGAUGGCCAUGAAAUAUGUGCAUAGUAGCACUAAUUAAUUAGAUCAUGGCAUGGGCUUUUGAUUGCAUGUGGUACGCCGCAAUGUGCAUGGACAAUAUGCACAUGGUGCUAUGUCCGUGCGCGUGCCAUGCAGGCAAGCAGCUUGCGUGCAGUCUUUGUGUGCAACGCGUUGGACUAUAAGCGAAAGGCACACGACUCAACUUGGUCGGACAUGACCGGUGAGGGCAAAAUGAUCACCAAAACACUACGCAUUUAGCGAAGCGGGCUCACUUAAAUGCGAUUGCACACUGAAUCGCAAUUUAAAUUAGUUUUAAAUUUUAAAAUUUAAUAAAUGAGAUGUAUUAGAUCCUUUUUAAUAAUUUUACGAAAAUUGCGAUUCUUGAAACAAAUAAAGAUUUGUUUUUAAAUUAAUCUGAAACCCCAAUUAAUUAGAAUUCGAAUUAGAGAAUUUAAUAUUAUAUGCAUGUGAUGUAUAUGAGGUGAUGAUCAUGGAUAGCGACCUUGUGAUGUGCAUGUAUCAUGUGAUGGUGUGAAUUGUUGUAAUUUAAUAAGGACCCUGUAUUAGAUUUUUUUUUUGUGCAUGCGCGUGCAAAUUAAAUUAUGUAAUUUGGAUACCUGCGUGUCUCAUUACUUUUAUGGGUUAUAAAGUUAUUGUUGUAAAAUUAAUAAGGAAAAAGAGUAGUUUAGGCUCCAUGAGGAUUUGUUGCAUUCAAGAGUUGAUGCGAUGCGGAUCAAAUUUGGACCAGAUGCUGAUCAAGGGGGAAGACAAGGUUUUCUUGUGUGUAUCAACUCCAAUCCGAUAAAGACGCAGAAUAAGAAAAGGUUUUCUUGUGUGUAAUAUCCUUAAUUAUGACGCGAUUUCCGGCCUAGUGGCUCAGGCCCGAAUCAAGAUAAAAUCCAUGAUCAUCACCGGUAGUUAUUUUUAUAUAUGCGAUGUAUGUAUGCAUGUGAUGUGAUGGUUUGCAUGAGAUGUAAAUUAAUAAUAAAUUAAAACUGAUGAGACAACUAAUCUCCCUAAAUGAAAUAUUAGUUAAUAGUGUUAUGAACCCAUUAGUGGCUUUCCACCGUUGUAGGGUGUGGGCGUCUCUUUAGUGUUGAUUGAUGCACCCGAAUACGGGGGUCAGUUGCAUUAGGGAGCCGCAACCAUUCUAUUCGCAUGAGAUGCUGUGCGGUAAGAAAGGGGUUGGAUCCAAGAUCUGUCAGGAGGAGGAUUCAAUGACAUUCUUAUUUGCACAAUGAACAGUGGGUCAAACUUAACCACGAGAUAAGGCCAAGAAUCUGUCAGGAUGAGGCCUAUAUCUUAUGAAAGCAAAGAUUAGAUUGCAAUUUGCUUGAGAAGCAUUGAACAAGAGUUGUUCACUUAGUUGAUUGCUCAUUGCCAAGAAUCUGUUAGGACGAGGUAAUGUGUAAACAGAUGGGACCGCAAUACCUACUAGAAACUUUUAAAUAAAGUUUCCGUUUUCUCCGCUCGGGGAGUGUGGAGAUUUGUCAAAUUAGUGGGAAGCACCAUUUAGAUUUAAAGACCCUAGCUAAUCAAAUGGAUUAUGAUUAAGUACAUAACUAAUUAGAAUCUUAACCUUCUGCAGAAAAUGGCUGCAUCUAACCCACUUGCCAAAAUACUCGAUACUAAUCGCUUAACUGGACCGAAUUUUACCGAUUGGCUAAGAAAUUUGAGAAUUGUUCUCAAUUCUGAGAAACUAGCCUAUGUGUUGGACACAGAGACUCCAGCGGUGCCCAAAAAUUCGACGGCUCAACAAAGAGCUGCAAGAAAUAAAUGGACUGAUAACGAUAUGAAGGUAAAAUGUUACAUGCUUGCGUCUAUGAGCAAUGAGUUGCUAUGCAAGCAUGAGCACAUGGAGACUGCUGCUGAUAUUCUACUUCAAUAUUUAUAUUGCGAAAAAUACAUAUAUUUGUAUUUUCUCUAGACAUGAUAAACUAUUUACCGUGUUUGGACACGGUGAAUAGUUCACCGCGUUCAACUUAACAAUCUGGCUCAGCCCCGCGCGCGUGGCGCUGACGUGGCGUCUGCGUGGCAGGGUGAGAGCCAAAAGUGCAAAUAUAAAUUUGUUGGGACUAUUUUUAAAAUAAAUUUUUUCUAGGAGGCUAAAUGCAAAAAAAGCCCAUGGAUCAAACUUACAAUAUCAUAAAAUUAAUAGAUUUUUUUAUGUAAAAAAAGCCUACUUUUUAUUUUGAUAUGAAAAGUAAAAGGCUAAAGUACAAAUAACCUCUCUAUAAAUAUUCACUUCUGCAUUUUGCCCAUAUAUUUUUAAAAAUCUCUAUUUUAUUUUCUCAAAAUUUAAAAUUAUAGAACUUAAUCUCGCAUUGUUAAUUUUUCUUCAUUGUUCCAUACAUAUAUUAUAUGGUACAACUCAGUAACUAUCUAUAUACCAAAUUUAUUCUUAAAAAUGAUGAAAAAAGAAAAGCACUUCUGUAAAGUUUUAUUCUUAAAAAUGAUGAAAAAAGAAAAGCACUUUAUACAGUUAUUUAACGGAGGUAAAAUAAAAGAUUCUUAUAUAUUUCCACCAUUUUAAAAGAUAAAAUAAAUAUCUUGAUAAGUUAUCCGGUUGUAUCACACUUAUGUACGAAAUAGUGAAGGAAUAAUAUUGGCGUUAUAUUAAGUGCUACAAUUUAAAAAUUCAAGACUAUAAAAUAGAUAUUUUUUUAAAAAGAUAGGAGGAUAAAAUUUAGGAAAAACUUCAAAAACCCUCCCUGUGGUUUCGUAGUUUCUCACUUUGUCCCCCUGUGAUUUAAAAUGUAUCAAAUUGCCCCCCUGUGGUUUCGUUUUUAUUUUUUCGGUAGCUUUUCCGUUAAUAUUUCAUUAAAUUAUAUACAAAAAAACUUCAGAUACCCAUCUAGAUUUAUCAAAUAUUCACUUUAGUACCCUUUAAUUUUAACUUUAUUACUUAUUUAAGAAAAAAAAAUAAUGAAAUUGAUAAGAAAAAGAGAAAAAAGAAACCACAGGGAGGCAAAUUGAUACAUUUUAAACCACAGGGGGGCAAAGUGAGAAACUACGAAACCAUAGGGAUUUUUUUUGUAGUUUUCCCUAAAAUUUAAAACGGAUUUUUACAAAUUUUUUUUAUAUUUUAACUAAAAUAAAUACUACUAUUAAAAGUCCGUAAUUUGAAUCGUGGAAAUUUAAAAUUUAAGAAUCAUAAUAAAAUCGAACUCAGUCCUUAAGGAAAAAUUUUUUUUUUUACUUCAUUCAUUUUUUUUAAAAAAAACUUAACUGAAAGUAUAAAACAAUUUGUGACACCCCCAAUAAUCCCACAUCGGUUGGGAAUGGAAUUGUUAUUAGGUAUAUAAGAGAACUCCACCCUAAUGGUUUGGGUCCAACGAAUUAUUAUUGCUAGCGGAUCGGAUCAUAUUGAUAUCAAAACCGAUUCACCAGCCGGAAGUAUUAGAUGCGUUUUGGCUGAAUCAGGGUCAGAAUGACUGACUAAGUCAGGAUCGAUGAAUGACAAAAUUAGCGAUGUGUGUUUAGGUUCUGUGACACCCCGGCUAAUAAUAGCAUUUUAGGCCGGUGGGAGUUAUUAUUACUUGCAGGUUGAACCGCUAUCCAAUUAGAUUUUAAAUUUAAAAUUUUAAAUAUCAAGUAUAUUAAAUUUUUUAUUACUUGUGCCAGAAACAAGUUGCAGUUGUAUAAAGUUUUGAGGAAAAAUUGUUGAUGGACGCAUAGGAUCCGUUUAGGAACCGCCCGAAUCCGUUGCACCAGAAUGGGACGAAGACCUGACACAUAUCGCAUCUCUAGGGGUAAGGUAAAAACGCAGGUCUCCUUCUGUGAUCGCCGAUCCGUACGUACGUAGCCCUCCCCCUCCCCCUCCCCUCGUUUAACAUCCCUGCACGGUUUAAAGAACCCACCAAACCCACACCUCUCUCUCUCUCUCUCUCUCUCUCUCUCUCUCUCUCCAUCCCCCUUAUGCACACCCCACACGUACACCUCUCCAUGUGACGCUUGUUUGGACCUGAUCGUGGACUCGGAUCACGAAAUGUGUUAGAAAAAACUCUGACCAAAUAUGAUACCGAAUUUAAUGGGAUAUGAAUAUGGACAUUAAAAUUUAGUAUUUAAUAUAUAUUCGAAUUUAAAUUUAUAUUCGAAAAAAAAAAGGAUGUGAAUGUGACUCUUAAUAAAUUAAACCACCUUUAUCUCAUAAGAGAGAUGUUAAUAUAUAUGAGAUAAAAGAGAUGUUAAUAUAUAUUAGAGCCGGACUAAAAUGCCUUUAACAGCAAAAAAUAUUGGUGCCGGUAGGUUUUCGGUUUUUGGACGAACAUUCGUAACGUUAGAAUGAUAGUGAUCCCCUAAAAUUUAGUGAAUGGUUCAUGGAAUAUCAUGAUCUAAGAUGUAGAAUUAGUCAAAGGUAUAAAUUUAAUGGUGAAAAACUUGAUAGCACAAAGUACUUGCUGUUAUUAAAAGCAUUAUAAUUAAACUCUAUAUAUGUUAUAAGAGAAUAAAGUGAUUUUCUAUCAUGUACUUCAUUUGUUUUACUAUAAAUUUUAUAUUAAAAUUGUAUUUAUAUUUAGGCUAAAUUACAGAAAAUCUUUCUGUCAAUAUCUGUUUUUUCACUUUCUUUUGUAAACCUACACUUUGCCCCCUUAAAAAAUAAAAAAUAUUCACAGGGGGUAAGCUGUCAAAAUGACCAAAUUGCCCCUCAUUCUCUUCGUCUCCUCCUCAGCCGCAGCCUUUUCUUCUCUAUUCUUCGCGCCUCCCUCAAUCCCAACUCCGACUCUGUUUUCUCCAUCUGCUCUCCCGCUCCUCCAGCACCCUCGCCGCCCCUCCAUUUCGGUGAUUGUAGGGAGAAAGAUCGGAGUGGGCGUGGACGGAGAGGUGAACAAGGGCAAGGCGAUAGAGGAGGGCGAAGGCGUGUGUGUGGGCAUGGAUAGAGGGGUGGGCGAGGGCAAGGCGGCGGAGCGCGAGGGGAUGCGGCCGAGGACGUCGGUGAGGAAGUAUAAGGGUUUCAGGAGUAUUUUGGGUAUAAAAAAUAGAAUAUAAACAGAACCCUAACGGAACAGUGACGACGGGGGCCAAAGUAAACAUUUUUUAUUUUUUAAGAGGGUAAAGUGUAGAUUUUCAAAAGACGGGAGGGGGGCGGGAGGAGGGGGAAGUGAAAAUAUGGGUGUUGAUAGAGGGGUUUUCUAUAGUUUAGCCUUAUAUUUAUUACACUAUCAAAUUUUAUUGAAUAAAUAUAGGUACACAAAUUGUGAACACAAGUGUGAACCUUUAAUUGCAUUAUGCAUCUUAUUUGCGCUAAUUUAGUUUAUAUUUAUACAAAAAUAAAACUUGGUUGAAAGUUCAUGGACUAGCAGUGAAAUUUGUAUUGAUCGGCAUUCAAUAAUGGAAGAAUUGCCUAUAUAUCCCUAAAAAUUUCUGAAAUAUCUAAUAUACCUCUACCUUUUUGUUUCAAAUAUACCGCCUGUAUAUUUCUCCACUAUUCAAAAUACCCCCGUUGUUAUUCCAGUUAAAUUAUCUUGGGUUAAAUUUAGGGGUGGAAACGAGCCAAGCUCGAGCGAGCUAAUCUCAGCUUAAAUUCGGCUUGAAAUUAAUUUCAAGCCUAAAUUUAAGCUCGAGCUCAGUUUGAAAUUAAUUCGAGCCAAGCUCGAGCGAGCCUAAUUUCAAGUUGAGCGAGCUCGAGCCCUAAACGAGCCGCUUGAAAUUCUCAACAUCGAACGAUUAAUAGUUUAAUUUGUAUAGAAUAUUAUCUAUAAUUUGAUACAAAAAUAUGUAUAAUAAUUCAAAAUACAAAAUAAGUAUAUGAAAUACGGUAUUAUAAUAUAAAAAAAAUAACUUAUGAGUUGAAUAUCUAAUAUUUUCAGUCUCGCAUGUCUUUUCUUCCACUUUCAAUCUUCAUAUUAUUCCUUUUCAUCUAUGCGGUCAAAAAAUAAAUAAAUUAUGUAGAUAAAUAUUGGAUUAAACUAUCCAAUCAUAUAUAACUAAAAUCAAAUUUUUGUAUAAACAAUAUUUUUUUAACUUAAAAAUAUUCUGUAUAUUUUUUCAAGUACACAACUAAUGGUAAAGUAGGCAACAUCGAGCGCAUACUGUUACUUAGUUACUUGGGGGGCUUCAGACUUAGCCGCUUGGGGUGAGAGAUAGAGAAAAAGAGAUUAGGGAUUUAUAGCUCUGUGAAAGAAAGAGAGAGAGUGUAAAUUUAGUAAAAUUUUGCCCUUUUGUUGGCCUAUUAGAUUUGUUUUUAUGGGACAGCAACAUUAGUCCAAUUUUAACUAAACUCAGAUUACUCACUCAGCCUACAUAUAAUUAAAAUAUUAUAUAUAUAUACUUUUUAAUAUAAAAAUAAAUAAAUAUACAUAUGUAUUCUCUUAUGUAUAUAAAUAAAUAAAGAUAUAUAAAUAAAUCCCCCUAAUAGUUUUGCCUCUCUCUAGACAAAUUGUCCAUACUGGAAUUGUAACUAGUAGGAGGGUAGUUAUAUAUAUCUUUAUUUAUUUAUAUACAUAAGAGAACUUUUUAAUAUAAAAAUAAAUAAAUGUUUAAUAUAAAAAUAAAUAAAUGUACAUAUGUUUUCUCUUAUGUAUAUAAAUAAAUAAAGAUAUAUAUAACUACCCUCCUACUAGUUACAAUUCCAGUAUGGACAAUUUGUCUAAAGAGAGGCAAAACUAUUAGGGGGAUUUUUUUUGGACUGGGCUACUAUUAGUAGCAAAAUUCCAUUGUUGCUACCAGUUUUUUAGCCUUUGGAUCAACUCUUUUUAUUAUUUCUAACCAUUGGAUUAAAUACUAUAACCCAGUGGGGACCACUCAACUCUAACCGACUAAUAUCAUCCAGACCCUACAAUUUUUCAUCCAAGGGUUAAAAACUUAAUAGCAAAAAGAGCGUUUUACUAUUAAUAGUAUUCCAGCCUAAUUCUAUAUCUCUCUCUCUCUCUCUCUCUCUCUCUCUCUCUCUCUCUAUAUAUAUAUAUAUAUAUAUUCGAGCUUUUCGAGCCUAAUCCGAGCGAGUUGAGUAAUACUCAAGCUCGGCUUGAAAUGAAUUUCGAGCUUUUUCUUUUGUUCAAGUUCGGUUCAUUUAAUUUCGAGUCGAGCAUGAGCAAGCCAAAUAUCGAGCCGAACGCGAGUCGAACAUGAGCCGACUCGCCAUUUGCCAACCCUAGUUAAAUCCGAAUUAAAUUUCUACUAGAGUUAAAAAAAAAAAAAAGAAAAAAAUACCUCUCUUGCCUCUAACCUAAGAACAAAUAAGAAAAAUUAGUGAUGGUAGAAGGGUAUGAUAUAUUGAACCUUAGCAAAUUGGCAAGAUUACAAUAUAAAUUUAUACUUGAUUGAGUUGGAGACGUUUUGCACAAAAUAGGCCCAAAAACGGACUUUAAAACUCAAAAUUUAAUUUUUAGAGGACUAAAAUUGAAAUACUUAGUUUGGAGGAGCUUUUUGGCAUUUUUGCUAUAUUAGGCGGUGGAGUCCAUGUUGACAUCCCAUCCUUAUCUUCGUUUUUGUUGUUAAGUUUUACGGAGAUAGAGAGAGAAGGGUAGAGCACAAAAGGAAAAAAAAAAGGGGAGAGAGAGUUUGGUUUCGUUCUAGCGAGUGAGUGAGCAAGUUGAGCGCGCGCGGGUGUAUUUUUAGGGUUUCGACGUCGCGGUUAGUAUCACGACACUAUUAUCUCUCGUUUAGACUAUUUUGAUAAUUUUUUUGGUAGAAAUUGAGAUAUGUGUGUGUGUGUGUGUGUGUGUGUGUGUGUGUGUGUGUGUGUGUGUGUGUGAUAUUUUCUUAAAGAUCAAUAGACAGCUACAGAUAGUGUAGACUAUAACUGUAAUUUGGACACUAUGACAGUAUUAUCAUGAUCUGUUUGAUCAUCGCAUUUGACCACAGCCUGCAUACUAUGUUGAGUUUGACAGUAAUACUAUACUCGGUUGGGGUAGUGCCCCGCGAGUGCCACUCCGGAGGUUGGAUUAUGAGAUAUUAUUAUGAAAUAGGGCUGACAGUAGUUUGCGUGGUAGUGGACCAGUAUAGGUAGGUGUUGGACACAAGGCAGCGCAAACUAAAUCUGAUUGUUGAGUCAGUCACUAUGAUUGGGUAUUAUUGCAGUAUUUUGUUUAGUAUUUAAUUGAUACAUGCAAUACAUGAUUUACAAUUUUAGUUAUAUUGUAGAGGCAUGAUAGUAAUAGUUAUUUUCCGCAAUUAUUUAUACUAGUAUCUGUUCCUUUGUAUUGCUUAGUAUUUACUCUCUUUGCCUCUUCUGGGCCUAGUGGUGUAGACCGUCGGCGUUGUCGACCAUACCCACUGGAGACUAUAUUAUAGUUCUCAUACCCUCUUUAUUAAUAUUUUAGUUCAGAGCCUUCAGCACUAGCGACUGAUCGAGAUAAGGGGAUUGUAGAAAGUUAGCAUCUUCUACCUUUCUUAUGUGUGUAGUUGGACCACCUAUUAGUGAGCAGCCUGUAUAGUGUUUUGAGAUUUGGAGUGGUCAGAGAUAUUGUACCAUUAUGAGAACUGGUGUAGUGAUGAUUGUAUAUCAUUACAGUGUUGCUAUAGUAUAUAAUUUUUAUUCUUCUUUGAUAUCCACUGUUGUUAGAUUUUUUUUUUUGAGUAAAGUAAAAAAAUAAAAAAUAAAAAAAAAUCUAACAACAGUGGAUAUCUUAGUUAAUUUUGUUUGACAGGUUUUGCUGACGCUUCGUAUGUAUAAGGAGUGUCCUUGUGCAUGUAGCGGGUCUAUUGACGUAAUCCAGACUUUCGUUGUAUCCCAGAUGUCAGGCCCCGGAUUACCAUGUUUUUCCGGGCACGCGAACAGACCUGUCGUAUACAUAGGAAUUUUUCAUGUAUACGAAGCAAUAGUUGUACCUGUAAGCAAGUUAUAGCUACAACCAAGUGUAUAGAGCUACUAGAACUAAAAACAUAUAUAGAAUAUAAAGGGUUCACUGUACAUACAAAAGUCCACAAUAGCACCUCACUUUAGCGAGUACACAAAACAUAAAGUAUGUAUACAAAUACAACUCACUACCUCUGAUGGAUACUUCGCUAGCACGGCGACCAAGGCUGGUAGGGAUCUAGCUCGCGACUCCCUUACCACGGUCAGAAUCAGCAAAAGCAGCAGCCGUAGACGAAGACUCUGCAAAAAGGUGUCAACUACUCGGUGUGAGAAUUACUACAAAACAGAGUAGUCCUCAGUGGGUACCGUUACCGACCUCAACGGCCUACCCACUAAGUCUACAG
rnacentral:lncRNA from 1 species